ACCGCACCCGGCCAACAGGCAGCAUUUCUUGAGCACUUACUGUGCCCGGGUACUGUUCCAAGCACUUUGUCAACUUGUUUAAUCCUUAUGACAACCCAUCGUUCGGCCCCGUCAUGUGGAUCAGGAAACAGUCCAGAGUGGAGGAGGGAGGAGACUGAGCAGGGGGUCGCUGGGGCUGGACCGCAGGAGUCUCCAUCCCGCUUCCGCAGGUGGAUAGUGACAAGGGCAUCUCCCUUCGCUUCCCUCGGUUUAUUCGAGUCCGUGAAGACAAGCAGCCGGAGCAGGCCACCACCAGUGCUCAGGUGGCCUGUUUGUACCGGAAGCAAAGUCAGAUUCAGAACCAACAAGGCGAGGACUCAGGCUCUGACCCUGAAGAUACCUACUAAGCCCUCGCCCUCCUAGGGCCUGGGUACAGGGCAUGAGUUGGACGGACCCCAGGGUUAUUAUUGCCUUUGCUUUUUAGCAAAUCUGCUGUGGCAGGCUGUGGAUUUUGAGAGUCAGGGGAGGGGUGUGUGUGUGAGGGGGUGGCUUACUCCGGAGUCUGGGAUUCAUCCCGUCAUUUCUUUCAAUAAAUAAUUAUUGGAUAGCU
rnacentral:lncRNA from 10 species